AAACAUGGCUCUGAUGACUAAACUUUUUUCCCCAGCAGAUCGACUCUGUUGACUUAUCUUUACAAUUUAAGCCAAAUUGUCUGAGCCAUUAUC